GACGUAGGGCGCGAGCGUUGUCCGGAUUUAUUGGGCGUAAAGAGCUCGUAGGCGGCUUGUCGCGUCGUUCGUGAAAACCCGGGGCUCAACUCCGGGCUUGCGGGCGAUACGGGCAGGCUAGAGUUCGGUAGGGGAGACUGGAAUUCCUGGUGUAGCGGUGAAAUGCGCAGAUAUCAGGAGGAACACCGGUGGCGAAGGCGGGUCUCUGGGCCGAUACUGACGCUGAGGAGCGAAAGCUAGGGGAGCAAACGGG
rnacentral:rRNA from 1 species